GGUUAAGCGAAUAAGCGUACACGGUGGAUGCCUAGGCAGUCAGAGGCGAUGAAGGACGUGCUAAUCUGCGAUAAGCGCCGGUAAGGUGAUAUGAACCGUUAUAACCGGCGAUUUCCGAAUGGGGAAACCCAGUGCAAUUCGUUGCACUAUCAUUACCUGAAUACAUAGGGUAAUGAAGCGAACCGGGAGAACUGAAACAUCUAAGUACCCCGAGGAAAAGAAAUCAAACGAGAUUCCCCCAGUAGCGGCGAGCGAACGGGGAGCAGCCCAGGACCUUAAUCAGCAUCAGUGCUAAGAGAACAGUCUGGAAAGGCUGGCCACAGCAGGUGAUAGCCCUGUAUCUGAAAGCACUGGUGUUGUGAGUCCGAUGAGUAAGGCGGGACACGUGUUAUCCUGUCUGAAUACGGGGGGACCAUCCUCCAAGGCUAAAUACUCCUGACUGACCGAUAGUGAACCAGUACCGUGAGGGAAAGGCGAAAAGAACCCCGGCGAGGGGAGUGAAAAAGAACCUGAAACCGUGUACGUACAAGCAGUGGGAGCACCUUUAUGGUGUGACUGCGUACCUUUUGUAUAAUGGGUCAGCGACUUAUAUUCUGUAGCAAGGUUAACCGGAUAGGGGAGCCGCAGGGAAACCGAGUCUUAACUGGGCGAAUUAGUUGCAGGGUAUAGACCCGAAACCCGGUGAUCUAGCCAUGGGCAGGUUGAAGGUUGGGUAACACUAACUGGAGGACCGAACCGACUAAUGUUGAAAAAUUAGCGGAUGACUUGUGGCUGGGGGUGAAAGGCCAAUCAAACCGGGAGAUAGCUGGUUCUCCCCGAAAGCUAUUUAGGUAGCGCCUCGUGAAUUCAUCUCCGGGGGUAGAGCACUGUUUCGGCUAGGGGGUCAUCCCGACUUACCAACCCGAUGCAAACUGCGAAUACCGGAGAAUGUUAUCACGGGAGACACACGGCGGGUGCUAACGUUCGUCGUGAAGAGGGAAACAACCCAGACCGCCGGCUAAGGUCCCAAAGUCAUAAUUAAGUGGGAAACGAAGUGGGAAGGCUCAGACAGCCAGGAUGUUGGCUUAGAAGCAGCCAUCAUUUAAAGAAAGCGUAAUAGCUCACUGGUCGAGUCGGCCUGCGCGGAAGAUGUAACGGGGCUAAAUUAUGCACCGAAGCCGCGGCAGCGAUAUGUAAAUAUUGUUGGGUAGGGGAGCGUUCUGUAAGCC
rnacentral:rRNA from 1 species